rnacentral:lncRNA from 1 species
GAAGUAUAAUAAUUAAAAUCAAGCAAGCAAAGCGGUAUACAUUGAAUUAUGUAUAUUCCAUUAGCGUUUAUGAAGUUAAUAUGCGAGUAUAUGAUUUAGUUUGUAAAUUUGCAAAAUUACAUACGAAUUGGCUAAGGAAGAAAAUUAGUAUGAUAUGACUGAUAUUGUUAAAUAAGGCUAUUGGUACUUGUAUUAUGUAUGAAAAUUAUAAGAUUGCAU